rnacentral:rRNA from 1 species
UGGGGAAUUUUGGACAAUGGGCGAAAGCCUGAUCCAGCAAUGCCGCGUGUGUGAAGAAGGCCUUCGGGUUGUAAAGCACUUUUGUCCGGAAAGAAAUCCUUGGCUCUAAUACAGUCGGGGGAUGACGGUACCGGAAGAAUAAGCACCGGCUAACUACGUGCCAGCAGCCGCGGUAAUACGUAGGGUGCAAGCGUUAAUCGGAAUUACUGGGCGUAAAGCGUGCGCAGGCGGUUUGCUAAGACCGAUGUGAAAUCCCCGGGCUCAACCUGGGAACUGCAUUGGUGACUGGCAGGCUAGAGUAUGGCAGAGGGGGGUAGAAUUCCACGUGUAGCAGUGAAAUGCGUAGAGAUGUGGAGGAAUACCGAUGGCGAAGGCAGCCCCCUGGGCCAAUACUGACGCUCAUGCACGAAAGCGUGGGGAGCAAACAGGAUUAGAUACCCUGGUAGUCCACGCCCUAAACGAUGUCAACUAGUUGUUGGGGACUUCAUUUCCUUAGUAACGUAGCUAACGCGUGAAGUUGACCGCCUGGGGAGUACGGUCGCAAGAUUAAAACUCAAAU